rnacentral:tRNA from 1 species
UUGUUUGGUGACCGAGAAAAUAGGUAAUAGACUGUAGAUCUAUUCACGGAAUUAAAUUUCCCCAACAAA